GAUGAACGCUGGCGGCGUGCCUAAUACAUGCAAGUCGAGCGAACGGACGAGAAGCUUGCUUUUCUGAUGUUAGCGGCGGACGGAUGAGUCACACGUGGCUACCCUACCUCUAAGACUGGGAUAAUAUCAGGAAACCGGCGCUAAUACCGGAUAAUAUUUUGAACCGCAGGGUUCACACGUGAAAGAAGGUCUUGCUGUCACUUAUAGAUGGAUCCGCGCUGCAUUCGCUAGGUGGUAAGGUAACUGCUUACCAAGGCAACGGUGCAUAGCGGACCUGAAAGGGUGAUCGGCCAGACUGGUACUGAGGCACGGUCCAGACUCCUACGGUAGGCAGCAGUAGGGAAUCUUCCGCAAUGGAGGAAAGCCUGACGGUGCAACGCCGCGUGAGUGAUGAAGGUCUUCGGCUCGGAGAACUCUGUUAUUCUGAAAGAAGAUAAGUUUAAGUAACUGUGCACAUCUUGACGGUACCAAAUCAGGAAGCCAAGGCUAACUACGUG
rnacentral:rRNA from 1 species